rnacentral:rRNA from 1 species
GUGGCCAAGUUUUUAAGGGCGCACGGUGGAUGCCUUGGCACCAGGAACCGAUGAAGGACGUGGGAGGCCGCGAUAGGCCCCGGGGAGCUGUCAACCGAGCUUUGAUCCGGGGGUGUCCGAAUGGGGAAACCCGG